rnacentral:rRNA from 1 species
CCUACGGGAGGCAGCAGUGGGGAAUAUUGCACAAUGGGGGAAACCCUGAUGCAGCGACGCCGCGUGAGUGAAGAAGUAAUUCGUUAUGUAAAGCUCUAUCAGCAGGGAAGAAAAUGACGGUACCUGAGUAAGAAGCCCCGGCUAACUACGUGCCAGCAGCCGCGGUAAUACGUAGGGGGCAAGCGUUAUCCGGAUUUACUGGGUGUAAAGGGAGCGUAGACGGCAGUGCAAGUCUGGAGUGAAAGGCGGGGGCUCAACCCCCGGACUGCUCUGGAAACUGUACGGCUGGAGUGCAGGAGGGGGAAGGGGAAUUCCCGGUGUAGCGGUGAAAUGCGGAGAUAUCAGGAGGAACACCGGCGGCGAAGGCGGCUUACUGGACUGGAACUGACGUUGAGGCUCGAAGGCGUGGGGAGCAAACAGGAUUAGAUACCCUUGUAGUC